rnacentral:rRNA from 1 species
GAUGAACGCUGGCGGCGUGCCUAAUACAUGCAAGUCGAGCGAACGGACGAGAAGCUUGCUUCCCUGAUGUUAGCGGCGGACGGGUGAGUAACACGUGGAUAACCUACCUAUAAGACUGGGAUAACUUCGGGAAACCGGAUCUAAUACCGGAUGAUAUUUUGAACCGCAUGGUUCAAAAGUGAAAGACGGUCUUGCUGUCACUUAUAGAUGGAUCCGCGCUGCAUUAGCUAGUUGGUAAGGUAACGGCUUACCAAGGCAACGAUGCAUAGCCGACCUGAGAGGGUGAUCAGCCACACUGGAACUGAGACACGGCCCAGACUCCUACGGGAGGCAGCAGUAGGGAAUCUUCCGCAAUGGGCGAAAGCCUGACGGAGCAACGCCGCGUGAGGGAUGAAGGUCUUCGGAUCGUAAAACGCUGUUAUUAGGGAAGAACAUAUGUGUAAGUAACUGUGCAGAUCUUGACGGUACCGAAACAGAAAGCCACGGCUAACUACGUG